rnacentral:rRNA from 1 species
AGCAGCCGCGGUAAUUCCAGCUCCAAUAGCGUAUAUUAAAGUUGUUGCAGUUAAAAAGCUCGUAGUUGAAUUUCGGGGUCAGUAGGUUGGUCAUGCCUCCGGUAUGUACUGGUCUCACUGAUUCCUCCUUCCUGAUGAGCCGUAAUGCCAUUAAUUUGGUGUUGCGGGGAAUCUGGACUGUUACUUUGAAAAAAUUAGGGUGUUUAAAGCAAGCUAACGCUUGAAUACAUUAGCAUGGAAUAAUGGAAUAGGACGUUCGAUCCUAUUUUGUUGGUUUCUAGGAUUGACGUAAUGAUUAAUAGGGAUAGUUGGGGGCAUUAGUAUUCAAUUGUCAGAGGUGAAAUUCUUGGAUUUAUUGAAGACUAACUACUGCGAAAGCAUUUGCCAAGGAUGUUUUCAUUAAUCAAGAACGAAAGUUAGGGGAUCGAAGACGAUCAGAUACCGUCGUAGUCUUAACCAUAAACUAUGCCGACUAGGGAUCGGAUGAUGUUAAUUUUUAAUGACUCAUUCGGCGCCUUAA